rnacentral:rRNA from 1 species
GACGUAGGGGGCGAGCGUUGUCCGGAUUUAUUGGGCGUAAAGAGCGUGUAGGCGGCCAGGUAGGUCUGCUGUGAAAACUCGAGGCUUAACCUCGAGCUGUCGGCGGAAACCAUCUGGCUAGAGUCCGGAAGAGGAGAAUGGAAUUCCCGGUGUAGCGGUGAAAUGCGCAGAUAUCGGGGAAGAACACCCGUGGCGAAGGCGGUUCUCUGGGACGGUACUGACGCUGGAGACGCGAAAGCGUGGGGAGCGAACAGG